rnacentral:rRNA from 1 species
AUCAGGGUUCGAUUCCGGAGAGGGAGCCUGAGAAACGGCUACCACUUCCAAGGAAGGCAGCAGGCGCGCAAAUUACCCAAUCCAGACAUUGGGAGGUAGUGACGAGAAAUACCGAGGCGGGAUGUAACAAUUUCGCUAUCGGAAUGAACGUAACUUAAAACCUUUGCUGAGUAACAACUGGAGGGCAAGUCUGGUGCCAGCAGCCGCGGUAAUUCCAGCUCCAGUAGUGUAUUUCAAAAUUGUUGCGGUUAAAACGCUCGUAGUCGGAUUAGAGGAACGUUACAUAGCCGGCAACUGCGCGCGGAAUCGCGAUAGCAGAACGCCGGGUGACGUUCUUUUGUGGCAAGUCCCGGCUGUGGGCUUCAAUGCUUGUGGCCGGUCGCUUGCUAAGCGUGCCUUGAAUAAAGCAGAGUGCUCAAAGCAAGCGUAACGCUAGUAUGUAAUAGCAUGGAACGAAUACAUGUUAGAGCAGGCCUGCUCAGUUGGUUGGUGGGGUCGGUUGAGCAGCGAUGCUGUUUGCUUCGGCAGACAACGCGUUGUUCGCCGGCCGCUGGCUGCGUGCUGCGGCGGAAUCAGUUUACUGGCUUCGUCGAAAGUGCAGACAGAGCUGAGCAGCCUGUCGGUUAAGAGGGACAUUUGAGGGCGUUAGUACUUGGUGGCGAGAGGUGAAAUUCUUAGACCCACCAAAGACUGACAAAUGCGAAAGCAUUCGCCAAGAGUGUUCUCAUUGAUCAAGAACGAAAGUUGGAGGCUCGAAGACGAUCAGAUACCGUCCUAGUUCCAUACAGUAAACGAUGCCAACACGCGAUCAGUCUGAAGAUAUUUGGAUUGAGGUUGGUCGCCCAGGAAAACUGAAAGUGUUCUGGUUCUGGGGAGAGUACGGUCGCAAGGUUGAAAUUUAAAGGAAUUGACGGAAAGGCACCACCAGGAGUGGAGCCUGCGGCUUAAUUUGACUCAACACGGGACAACUCACCAGGUCCGGACAUCGGUAGGAUUGACAGACUGAUAGAUCUUUCAUGAUUUGAUGAUUGGUGGUGCAUGGCCGUUCUUAGUUGGUGGAGUGAUCUGUCAGGUUUAUUCCGGUAACGAGCGAGACCCCGGUGUCUAGUUAAUGGCCGGGUCACGGCAGGGUAACACCGAAGUGGACCCCCGAGUGCAGUUGCGUCGGCGGUGGCUGUUAUGCUUGUUUGGCUUUUGGCAGCAAUGUCAACAGUCGAGCAAGUGUGGCGGCUGCAGUUAGAUGUGCUGCGAUCAGGGUAAUCCAGUGUGACUCGGAUACUAGACAGACAACCGGAGAACCAAGCCGGGGGAAGCGUGGCAAUAACAGGUCUGUGAUGCCCUUCGAUGUUCUGGGCUGCACGCGCGCUACAAUGGCAGUGACAGAAAGGAGCUUAGUCGAAAGACUCGGCCAAACUGGAAUCGCUGUCGUGAUUGGGAUUGAGCUUUGUAAAUAGCUCAUGAAAGAGGAAUUCCUCGUAAGCGCGAGUCACUAACUCGUGUUGAAUACGUCUCUGCCCUUUGUACACACCGCCCGUCGCUACUACUGAUUGAAUUGGUUUUUGAAGCGCAAGGAUUGGCGGUCAUUUAAUGACCUGCCGAGAAUCGCCCUAAAAAAAUCAUUCGAGAGGAAGUAAAAGUCGUAACAAGGUUUCCGUAGGUGAACCUGCGGAAGGAUCAUCAAAGUGCUAUCAACAAAUAAUAUUGUUAUAGUUGCUAAAUUUGUGGUGCGGCUAACAACCGCAAUGUGUUUACUCUUAGUAGUACAACAAACACAAAUAUUGUAGGAAGUGUAGUGUAAGCUACGUGGACCGGUCAGUCAGCAAUGAUUGGCCGGACUGCACACAGCGUGAGCUGUUGCAGAGACCCAGCUGGGAUUUGACUGAGCAGGCAACUGCUUGUCGAUGAACAGUAGUGGAUAAUGUUGGAUACAUGUUGGUCGACAUAAUGUAGUAAUAUUAUUAUUAUUUUUAUUGACGCUGACAAAACAAACAAAAAACAACUGUUAACGGUGGAUCACUCGGUUCGUGUGUCGAUGAAGAACGUGGCAAAAUGCGAUAAUUAAUGCGAUUCGCAAUGCCUUGUGAGUCAUUGAAACUUUGAAUGCAAAUGGCGCGCGACUUUUAGUCGUGCAUGUUUGGUUGAGAGUCAUAAAUCUAUCGAGUUAUUUAUAACAAUACUGUUAGCCCGCUUGUUUACAAACGGGUUGAUGAAAUGUAACGCGUUGGCGCUGUGAUGUUUACUUGUAAGCAUUUGCAGACAUCAACGUAUUGUCUAACAAUAACUUUUAUGCGAACAUGCAAUUGUUAAUGAUUGAUGUGUGGCUGUCGUGCAAACGACAAGUCUGUCAUGAUGGUUUUGGAACAAUUGGUGCUUUGUAGGCAUCAUUAGUUUUGUAUGCAUACAAACAAGUGCUAUUGGUACGUUGGGUCUCUUAUUGGGAUAGACAAGCUGAUAGUGAGUUUGUGGUGUGUGCAAGAUUGGUGGUGUUUGCAAUGUGUCAUUGUCUCUGAACGCUAACUUUGGUUACAUUGUGGCAGGUUGUUUGGAAACAAGCGUUACUCAAAAAUUGUUGGUACUUGCAUAAUCUUAAUAAGACUAGUUGCUAGAUUCAAUUUUUACUCUGACCUCAGCCAAGCAAGAGUACUCGCUGAACUUAAGCAUAUCAGUAAGCGAAGGAAAAGAAAACAACUGUGAUUCCCCUAGUAACUGCGAGUGAAGCGGGAAAAGCCCAACGUUGAAGCCUGUGAGGGCGUUGUGACGUGAGCAAUAAAGACUUUUGGUUAGCAACCAGCAUUUCUGUUAAAGUCGUCUGGAUUGACGCGCCAUGGAGGGUGACAGCCCCGUUCGUGACAGAGUGCUGGUUGUGCAGAUACGCAAGUACGACCAAUUGUUUAAGAGAGUCGGGUUGUUUGGGAUUGCAACCUGAAGAGGGUGGUAAGCUCCACCUAAGGCUAAAUACAAGCACGAAACCGAUAGCGAACAAGUACCGUGAGGGAAAGUUGAAAAGAACUUUGAAAAGAGAGUCAAAAGUACGUGAAACCGUUAACAGGGAAGCAGAAGGGCGUGUCGAGACGCGCGGUUUUUGGUCUUUAAUUAGUUUUUAUACGUAAUUAAGAUUGCAAACCGCGUGUGCGUCAGGUCACUUGAUUGCUGGUCCACAAACCAAGUGUGCUGGUCACAUUCCGGUGUUGUUUACAAUGCCGGUUGUGGCUUGACCUUCGGGUUUGCUGUGACUUGCGGUUGAGUUGAAAUGAAUAAAGACGACGGUAGGGGUCUUCGGAGUCCGCAAAUUGGCGCAUUCAACUGUGUGUGCAUGUGCGUUUCGCCGUGUACACAUGAUUGGGUGUAAUCAGUCAGCCGUU